rnacentral:rRNA from 1 species
UACGGGGGGGGCUAGCGUUGUUCGGAAUUACUGGGCGUAAAGGGCGCGUAGGCGGUCUACUAAGUUGGAUGUGAAAACUCUGGGCUUAACCCAGAGCCUGCAUUCAAAACUGAUAGGCUAGAGUUCUGGAGGGGAUAGCGGAAUUCCUGGUGUAGCGGUGAAAUGCGUAGAUAUCAGGAAGAACACCCGUGGCGAAGGCGGCUCUCUGGGACGGUACUGACGCUGAGACGCGAAAGCGUGGGGAGCGAACAGG